UGAUGUGGUUAAACGACGACGUCAGACAAAGCUGCCAAUCAUAUUCAACGCAAGGCAUUUUCCCCCAAAAUUGUCUUGCGCCAAUAUCGCAGCUCCCUGCCACCGUACACAAUUUGAAUUCGCAACCGCUCCGUCAUCUCCAUCGCCAACCAGGCCAAAAAUGCAGCUAAUGAAAUGGGUUAGACAAUAGACUGGCUGUUGGGAGAGUAAAGUGCUGGUGCUAUGCCUCGGUACCAAAAGAAAAGCUCUCCACACUCAUCAAUCGGAAAAUGGCCAGAGAUCUUUUACCAGAAUAUGUUGAGUGCCCAGAAAAAGCUCGAAGAAACUGAACAUGCAUUACUUUGAUCUCGAGGGAAAACACAGACAGCCAAUGCAACGAUCAAAGAAAAUGAAUUUCUUAUAUCCAAUCUCCUCAAACCUGUUUGAAGAAAGUAAAUUUGGGCGCACCGCGAUGGAAGAAUGCUCAAGAAUCCUUGCUCAUCCUAGAAAAUAGCAAUUUUGCUUAUGUAGACUACAUUGUUAGGUUUGUAUUUCCCAAAACAAAGGUUGACUUUUAUUCAAGAUUGUUCAAUGUUCAUUCUAUCUCAAUCAGGAUGACAAUGGAAGCCAAUCAAGUCCAACGUGCCCAGUUUUCUUCUGCUUUGUCAACUGCUCCGGGAGAUGUAUGAUGAUUGCCUAAAACGAUAUAUGUUCAGUUGGGAGGACAAUUAUGGUUGACAAGUGUCGACUCGGCCAUUGAAAACCAUAAAAAACCGACCUCAAAGAAUUGGCACACAAACCGAUUUGUUCGAAUACCAAAGAAGUUCGGAUGGUGCAGAUGGAAUGAAGACGAGGUGGCUCAUGGUGUACAAGCUGGUUAGAACGAAGAUGAAAUGCCAGAGAAGUGCAUGGAGAUGGAAUGAAGAGGAGGUUGCCCUGAAGCCGUAGUGCAAGCAUCGCCAAGGUAGAGGCGACGUUCUCUGUUUCGGAUACCAGAGAGUAUAGCAUCUUUCUCUGUGGCCCGUGGAGGACCGUUGGAGAGCAUGCAUGCAUUCGGUGUUUUCCAAAUGGUGUGGAGGAGCUUGGAGCCAUGAGAGUACAAUUCAUGCUUUUCAACCCAUGGGAGGAAGGAGAAGUGCACCUGGGCUGCUCUGGGCGGUGCUUGAAUUCUGGCGUGAGCUAUGGAGGAGAAGUGCGUAACCUGCACUUGGCAUUCUCUCCACUUUCUUGGAGGGAGGGCGCCGUACAGAGAGGGACCAGCAGGAAAAGAAAGAAAAAAGAACAAAGAAAAAAGAGGAAGGGGGUGGCGAAAAUGAUAGAGAUGAAACCCUAAUGGGCUUUCCCAUUUGUGAAUAGGCUGGACUUCUUUUGUUUGGGUUGGGCCCAAGGUAUUUUUCUCAGUCCAUGUGUCUUUAGUUUUUGCUGUGUAUUAUGUGUUUUUCUGAGUGGUUUUCAUGUAUUUUUAUUUAUUUAGUUUGUUUUAGAUAGUAUUAGGAAACAUUGUCUUUAGGAUCGAGGGUCCAUAAAGUUUGUACUCCACUCCAAAGAAGGGGAGUUGUGUGGGCUAUCUUAGACGGUAGUUUAAGACAGAGUUUUAUCUUUCAUACAGUUAGUUUGGAGGCCUGUCACUCAACGGUUAGUUUGGAGGCAUUGGACAAGACCCUAUCAGCUGCAAAGAAAUUUAUGGGUUCAAGAGCGAGAAAAUGUUAGAAUU